rnacentral:snoRNA from 1 species
AUGGCAUGUUGAGGACAAUUGGCGCAAAGUUUCUUGAAUCUCUCCAAAGCUAGGUAGAAAUUCUCACCCUUGUGUUGUCAAAAACUUGCAAUCCUUUGUCUCCCCUU